AAUAUUGGACAAUGGGCGAAAGCCUGAUCCAGCCAUGCCGCGUGUGUGAAGAAGGUCUUCGGAUUGUAAAGCACUUUAAGUUGGGAGGAAGGGGUUGAAGCUAAUACCUUCAAUCUUUGACGUUACCAACAGAAUAAGCACCGGCUAACUCUGUGCCAGCAGCCGCGGUAAUACAGAGGGUGCAAGCGUUAAUCGGAAUUACUGGGCGUAAAGCGCGGGGUGGGUGGUCAGUAAAAAUGAAAUGAAAACCCCCGGGUUAAACCGGGAAAUGGUUUCCAAAAUGCUGAGGUAGAGUAAGGUAAGGGGUAGGGGGAAUUUCUGUGUAGCGGUGAAAUGCGUAGAUAUAAGAAGGAACACCAGUGGCGAAGGCGACUACCUUGACUGAUACUGACACUGAGGUGCGAAAGCGUGGGGAGCAAACAGG
rnacentral:rRNA from 1 species